GACGAACGCUGGCGGCGUGCUUAACACACGCAAGUCGAACGGAAAGGCCCUGCUUUUGUGGGGUGCUCGAGUGGCGAACGGGUGAGUAACACGUGAGUAACCUGCCCUUGACUUUGGGAUAACUUCAGGAAACUGGGGCUAAUACCGGAUAGGAGCUCCUGCUGCAUGGUGGGGGUUGGAAAGUUUCGGCGGUUGGGGAUGGACUCGCGGCUUAUCAGCUUGUUGGUGGGGUAGUGGCUUACCAAGGCUUUGACGGGUAGCCGGCCUGAGAGGGUGACCGGCCACAUUGGGACUGAGAUACGGCCCAGACUCCUACGGGAGGCAGCAGUGGGGAAUAUUGCACAAUGGGCGGAAGCCUGAUGCAGCAACGCCGCGUGCGGGAUGACGGCCUUCGGGUUGUAAACCGCUUCCGCCUGUGACGAAGCGUGAGUGACGGUAAUGGGUAAAGAAGCACCGGCUAACUACGUG
rnacentral:rRNA from 1 species